GGUGGGCGUGGGGGUUAUUGUGUGCGCAUAAAAUUGUUGGUGCCCCUUGGUGUGGGGCGCCCCUUUCCUUAACUUUAUCCAUUCUUUCCAUGAAGAAAAAGUUUCAUACGUGGAUUUCAGAUCUCUAAGGUGUGCCAAAGAGUCCUUCUGACUCUAAAAUGUCUCUUGCCUAAUUGGAGAAAUGGAUAAAGUUUGAAUUCCCUUAAGCCGGCUCUUCAUGGCAUCCCUUUGCAUUGGAUAAGGGUGGUUAAUGCCACCUUAUUCAAAUUUGAAUCCCAUUUGGCAUGUGAUUCUUCUUGAGGGAUGUGAGAUAUAUGAGAAG
rnacentral:lncRNA from 1 species